rnacentral:rRNA from 1 species
AACGAACGCUGGCGGCAUGCCUAACACAUGCAAGUCGAACGAAGGCUUCGGCCUUAGUGGCGCACGGGUGCGUAACGCGUGGGAAUCUGCCCUUGGGUUCGGAAUAACAGUUAGAAAUGACUGCUAAUACCGGAUGAUGACGUAAGUCCAAAGAUUUAUCGCCCAAGGAUGAGCCCGCGUAAGAUUAGCUUGUUGGUGGGGUAAUGGCCUACCAAGGCGACGAUCUUUAGCUGGUCUGAGAGGAUGAUCAGCCACACUGGGACUGAGACACGGCCCAGACUCCUACGGGAGGCAGCAGUGGGGAAUAUUGGACAAUGGGCGAAAGCCUGAUCCAGCAAUGCCGCGUGAGUGAUGAAGGCCUUAGGGUUGUAAAGCUCUUUUACCAGGGAUGAUAAUGACAGUACCUGGAGAAUAAGCUCCGGCUAACUCCGUGCCAGCCGCCGCAGUAAGAC